AUUUAAAGUAGAGGCUACAGUAGUAGUUCAACUUUGGUAGUAAAUAGUGCUCAACGAUACAAUUUAGUCACAUAGUGAGACACAGGACGUUACAGCGUAAGUGUCAGAGCCCAGUGGUCGUCAGUACGGUCUUAGGUAGUAACAGUGAGGUAUUGCUCUUUUCCACAGGGCGUUUAGUUUUAUUAGUGUAACCUUGAGAAGGCUUCGAUUUCCCUCACAUCCCC